rnacentral:rRNA from 1 species
CACGUAGGGCGCGAGCGUUGUCCGGAAUUAUUGGGCGUAAAGAGCUCGUAGGCGGCCUGUUGCGUCCGCUGUGAAAGCCCGGGGCUUAACCCCGGGUCUGCAGUGGAUACGGGCAGACUAGAGUUCGGCAGGGGAGACUGGAAUUCCUGGUGUAGCGGUGAAAUGCGCAGAUAUCAGGAGGAACACCGGUGGCGAAGGCGGGUCUCUGGGCCGAUACUGACGCUGAGGAGCGAAAGCGUGGGGAGCGAACAGG